ensembl:lncRNA
AUCUCAUUAACUUGGCUGAUUUUGUUUGUUGUUGUUGUUGUUGUUUUAGUUUAAACGUGAUCAUCAUGUCUAAUGAAUGUAGUUUCAUUGUCUGAUUUGUCCGUGAUUGUUGUUAAAACAGGUUCAGAUGGACAUACUGGAAAUGAAUUGAAAGAGAUGAAAGCAGAAUCAUCAGUAAAAGGAGUGAAUGAAGAAACAGCUUUAAUGAGCCAAAAUGAAGAGGAUGGAGAAGCAGCAGUUUAGUGAGAUAAGACACGCCCACCAGUAUCAAUCACUGUGACUUCAUCAACAUUUCAGCUCUGUCUUUUACAAGCCUUUAGAAUCCAUCCAGUCAUAGUGAGAACUGUACCCUGUCUUGUGUAAAAAGCUUAUUUGGUUUCAGAUGAAUGUAGAAAAGUGUUGAUGAAACACUACAUACCUGUUACACUUUUAACAAUUUUGAUUUUGAUCAAAGACAAUGAUUGUAAGACAUAUAUAUUUUAAGAUGUUUUAUGAAUAUGCCAUUUUGUGAAUAUGCCGUUUUAUAAAAUUAAAACUAUUGUAGGGUUAAUCUUCAUAUACAGCUUUGAUCAAAGUGUCUCUAAAGAUCACAUGUGCUUCUCAUGUGUAGAAAUUAAUCAGACCGUUUACAAGAUACGCACAGUAUUCACUGUCAGUGUGANCACAUGAAGAAUCACACAGUAUCUUCUCAGUGUUUCUGACAUGUUUAUCUCUUCAUUCACUUAUAAUCUAACUUCUUUGUUUCUCUGUGCAGCCUUGACAGAUAAUGUGGAGGCCUCUGAACAGGAAACACGUGAUGACGUCACACCAGCAGAGACUCCGACAUCAGAGAUCAGAGAAGGGGAAAGGGAACGCUUCAUUUUUGUUGAAGAGACUGCCAUAAGUAAAGCAUUUGGUGCUGAUAAGAUAUUGAGAGACAAACGGGGCAGGAAGAGCAUUGCAAUCAGAGCUGAAGAUGAUGAAGUUGAAACACAUGGUGAGUAGCUGUCUUUUAAUGUAAUAUUUUUAAUAUAAGAAGGGUUUGUGCAUGCAGUUGCAAUCAUGCAGUGUUAAUUU